UGGGGAAUAUUGCACAAUGGGCGAAAGCCUGAUGCAGCGACGCCGCGUGAGGGAUGACGGCCUUCGGGUCGUAAACCUCUUUCAGCAGGGACGGAGCGCAAGUGACGGUACCUGCAGAAGAAGCACCGGCCAACUACGUGCCAGCAGCCGCGGUAAUACGUAGGGUGCAAGCGUUGUCCGGAAUUAUUGGGCGUAAAGAGCACGUAGGCGGCUAGUCGCGUCGGCUGUGAAAACCUGGGGCUCAACCCCGGGCCUGCAGACGAUACGGGCUAGCUAGAAUUCGGUAGGGGAGACUGGAAUUCCUGGUGUAGCGGUGAAAUGCGCAGAUAUCAGGAGGAACACCGGUGGCGAAGGCGGGUCUCUGGGCCGAUAUUGACGCUGAGGAGCGAAAGCGUGGGGAGCGAAC
rnacentral:rRNA from 1 species